GUGGUGAGGUGGGAGCGCGGAGGUAGGGCCCAGGAGUCGCCCAGAGAGAGAAGAACACACACGGGAGGUCCAGAUCGCUGCUGCUCUGCUUGGACCAGUAGAAUGUGGUGAGAGGAUGGGGCUUCUCCCUCCCAAGACUCACAAUGGCCAGAGAAGAUUCCGUGAAGUGUUUGCGCUGCUUGCUCUACGCCCUCAACCUGCUCUUCUGGUUAAUGUCCAUCAGUGUCUUGGCAGUUUCUGCUUGGAUGAGGGACUACCUGAAUAACGUUUUGACUUUGACUGCAGAGACAAGGGUAGAAGAGGCGGUCAUCUUAACUUACUUCCCUGUGGUUCACCCCGUCAUGAUUGCUGUCUGCUGUUUCCUUAUCAUCGUGGGAAUGCUGGGAUACUGUGGGACCGUGAAAAGGAAUCUGUUGCUUCUUGCAUGGUACUUUGGAACUUUACUCGUGAUCUUCUGCGUAGAACUGGCUUGUGGUGUGUGGACAUACGAGCAGGAAGUUAUGGUGCCAGUACAGUGGUCAGAUAUGGUUACUUUGAAAGCCAGAAUGACAAAUUACGGCUUACCCAGGUAUAGGUGGCUUACGCAUGCUUGGAACUAUUUUCAGAG
rnacentral:lncRNA from 1 species